GGGCGGGCAUACACGUGCGUGGUCGAGCGGUAGAGAGAAGCUUGCUUCUCUUGAGAGCGGCGGACGGGUGAGUAAUGCCUAGGAAUCUGCCUGGUAGUGGGGGAUAACGUUCGGAAACGGACGCUAAUACCGCAUACGUCCUACGGGAGAAAGCAGGGGACCUUCGGGCCUUGCGCUAUCAGAUGAGCCUAGGUCGGAUUAGCUAGUUGGUGAGGUAAUGGCUCACCAAGGCGACGAUCCGUAACUGGUCUGAGAGGAUGAUCAGUCACACUGGAACUGAGACACGGUCCAGACUCCUACGGGAGGCAGCAGUGGGGAAUAUUGGACAAUGGGCGAAAGCCUGAUCCAGCCAUGCCGCGUGUGUGAAGAAGGUCUUCGGAUUGUAAAGCACUUUAAGUUGGGAGGAAGGGUUGUAGAUUAAUACUCUGCAAUUUUGACGUUACCGACAGAAUAAGCACCGGCUAACUCUGUGCCAGCAGCCGCGGUAAUACAGAGGGUGCAAGCGUUAAUCGGAAUUACUGGGCGUAAAGCGCGCGUAGGUGGUUUGUUAAGUUGGAUGUGAAAUCCCCGGGCUCAACCUGGGAACUGCAUUCAAAACUGACUGACUAGAGUAUGGUAGAGGGUGGUGGAAUUUCCUGUGUAGCGGUGAAAUGCGUAGAUAUAGGAAGGAACACCAGUGGCGAAGGCGACCACCUGGACUAAUACUGACACUGAAGGUGCGAAAGCGUGGGGAGCAAACAGGAUUAGAUACCCUGGUAGUCCACGCCGUAAACGAUGUCAACUAGCCGUAUGGAAGCCUUGAGCUUUUAGUGGCGCAGCUAACGCAUUAAGUUGACCGCCUGGGGAGUACGGCCGCAAGGUUAAAACUCAAAUGAAUUGACGGGGGCCCGCACAAGCGGUGGAGCAUGUGGUUUAAUUCGAAGCAACGCGAAGAACCUUACCAGGCCUUGACAUCCAAUGAACUUUUCUAGAGAUAGAUUGGUGCCUUCGGGGAAACAUUGAGACAGGUGCUUGCAUGGGCUGUCGU
rnacentral:rRNA from 1 species